GGGCCCGCACAAGCGGUGGAGCAUGUGGUUUAAUUCGAUGAUACGCGAGGAACCUUACCAGGGCUUAAAUGUAACGGGACAGAUCUAGAGAUAGAUCCUUCUUCGGACUCAUUACAAGGUGCUGCAUGGUUGUCGUCAGCUCGUGCCGUGAGGUGUCAGGUUAAGUCCUAUAACGAGCGCAACCCCCCAUCGUUAGUUGCCAACGAGUAAUGUCGGGAACUCUAACGAAACUGCCGGUGCAAACCGUGAGGAAGGUGGGGAUGACGUCAAAUCAUCACGGCCCUUACGUCCUGGGCUACACACGUGCUACAAUGGUCGGUACAGAGAGCAGCCACUACGCGAGUAGGAGCAAAUCCUUAAAAGAUACCUC
rnacentral:rRNA from 1 species